rnacentral:rRNA from 1 species
UACGUAGGGUGCAAGCGUUAAUCGGAAUUACUGGGCGUAAAGCGUGCGCAGGCGGUUUUGUAAGACCGUCGUGAAAUCCCCGGGCUCAACCUGGGAAUGGCGAUGGUGACUGCAAGGCUAGAGUUUGGCAGAGGGGGGUAGAAUUCCACGUGUAGCAGUGAAAUGCGUAGAUAUGUGGAGGAACACCGAUGGCGAAGGCAGCCCCCUGGGUCAAAACUGACGCUCAUGCACGAAAGCGUGGGGAUCAAACAGG